ACUCUAGCCAGGCAGUGUGAUCCUUGUAAUGUUUUUCCUAAGGAUUUUCCUUUCCUUGCAGUUGGCUGCUGUCCUGCUGACGAUGGCUUAUUCAUAUCUUGGGCGGUUUCUGCUCUUAUCCAAUGCUUUGGCAUUUGACAGUCUCAUCGGCUCCAUCCGGACACUACCGUUGGAUUUUCUGGAAAUCCUGGAAAGAGAAACUGUCUUACUUUUUUACAAAUCCAACUGUUAUGUUACAGUGUGUUAUUAUGGAACCUUUCUCAUAGUGAUGUUCUUUCUAUGGGACUUAAUGAUGAGAGGAGUCCUCGCUAGUUUUGCCAGAGAUGCAAAGAAAUCUCUCCGAAAUAGGCAGCUCGUCAGGUUCGAGGAAAUCAUUGCCUACAUCCAGAAGAAGAUGUCUUCUUUAUUAGGACUUCAAAGGCAAACACCAGACCAUAGUGGCCCAUUGGAAGACCACACUUUCUACCUGGAUGAGGUCGAACAUCUGAUGGACGAGCUGCUCUUCAGAAUUACUGCCUUAUCAAACGGGCUCAGUGUCUCUCUUCCAGAACAAUCCCACACCGAUCCGGAAGGAGGGAAUGAUUUUUAAGUAUCUCACACUGUCAUUAUUCUAGCCAAGCUUAUGGUAAGAGUCUUUUGGAGUCAUACAAUUAAGUAAAAUAUAGAUCAUUUGUGAAAUGCUAUUAAAGUUUGGGCAAAAUGUGAUCGGUGAAAGUGACUGAGAUGGGAGAUGGUGUGAAGGUGGUUGGGCUAAAGCUGAUCAGGAUUAUCCAGGGAUUCCAGCCCUGGAGAACACCAACCCCCACUUUCAUUAUGUCUCACAAAGAGUGUGAUGGCAUCUCAGUCCUUAUCUUUCCAGGCCCCCUGCUUUAUCAACCCAGGAAGAAGUGGUUAAAGGAGUUUCCGGGGAGGAAAUCCAGG
rnacentral:lncRNA from 1 species